ensembl:lncRNA
AUGGAGCAGCUGUUCCUUGUUGAGAACAAGUCAAAGGUGACAGUCUGGUCCCAGGUAAGUAUGGUUUGUGCAUAUUAUCUUGUUUUGUUAAUUUUUCUAAUUAUUUCUGUCUUUCCAGCUCUCAUCCUUGAGCAGGUUCUUUGGCUGUGGGUUAACCCUGUCAGGAAUAUCAAAGCAUGUGACAUGCUUGGCCACAGAAGUUGGUACGUGUGGGGUCUCUCACAAGUUCCUGUCAACACUUCAGCAUUGCAGCUCUCCAGAAUGGAUAACGUUGCUGCCAUUCAUUCUGAGUGGCAUCGUGGCCUCAUUUACAUGGGUUUUACGCUAUCUCAGUUAUCUCAACCUUUUGCUACAGUCAGUUCUUCAUUAUCUGAAGGUACAGUCAAUUUGCCAGUCUUAUUCCUCCCAAAGCCAUCGUGCAGUUGAAUUUUCCAUCUUUUCCAGUUCUUUACCUGCACAACCUCCAGGUAAUGUGUACCUCUGGGGCAUGAUGGGAUGGCUACCCCAGGCUUCCCCAAAAUUACUGCUCAGAAGUCAGGCAGUGAUAUAAAUACACAGUGUUAUUUUGCUCGUGCCCACCAACCAUGAAUGGCUUUUUCAUUUGUCACCACUUUCUUUCUAAAUAACACGCAGGUUAUCCAAACUUUGUUCUCCCUGCCAUACGCAGCACCACACACUCUGUAUUCACUCUGUAGGUUAUGCCCUGAUGGGCCUGAGAAGCCCUCACAUAAUUCCACAUUUGUUCAGCCAUGUGGAGCUGGUAACACUGGUGGCUACAGAAUUUCAGGAGAAAAAAAAUUGAAGAAAUGACCCCUCCUCUUCCUCUUGUCUCUUGGGAUGCCCUGAACGGCUCCAGAGCUGGUGCAGGAGGUUGUGAGCAGCUGCUGCCCUCUGUCCUGUUGUCUCCUGCCCUGGGUGGUGGGACAGCAGCACCCUAUGGUGAGGGGGCACCACUCUCACAAGCUGCUGCCUUCUCUGCCUGAGCAGGCAUGGUGCUUCUGUCCCUUUCUGUUCCUAGGUCUUCUGUGUCCCCCUUCCUGAAGCUCAUUUCCUUUCUUGUUUGAAAACAGCUCUUCUAAUGAAUAUGACCCUUUUUAGCAGAAGCUGUCCUUAGGUACAGGAGGGCCUGGUUGUGUCUUGGCAUGCCACCAGAUGACUUUAUUCAUGGCUGACUGAAGAAAUCUGCUCUUCCAUAUAUAGUUUGUAACAGAGGGGACACGAAUGUGGACAAAAUCUACGAAAGACUGAAUAGCUUGCAACAUGAAGAUGGACCCACCCUUUUUCAAAGGGUACUUCAGAGAAAGUGUUAGGUGGGGGGGAGAGAAACUUUUGACCUAUUUAUACUUUCUAGUAAAUGUUUGAGCUAAAUAAUAUGCAGGGCUGCUCUAGCUGUUAUGUGCAGUAAUCAAUUACAGCAAGGGCUGGAUGCAGCUGCAAUGGGAGGGAAUCAGAGGUGUUUUGAAGUUGAAGAGGCUGCUCUAGCAGCUGGGCUGUUGUACUUGUGGGCCUCCAGCAGAGGGGGGCUCUUAAGAGUGCUUAGGCAUUGCUUUAGUGUUUGCUUUUACAGAAUCAUAGAAUGGCUUGGGCUGGAAGGGACAUAAAGGAUCACCUUGUUCUAACCCCCCUGCUAUAGGCAGGGACGCCACCCACUAGAUCAGGUUGCCCCAGGCCAUGUCCAGCCUGGCCUUGAACACCUCCAGGGAUGGGGCAUCCACAACCUCUCUGGGCAACCUGUGCCAGUGCCUCACCACCCUCUGAGAGUUUCCUCAUUGUCUCCUUUGCUUUUCCAUUGUUAUCGAAGAAUCAUCUAAGUUGGAGAAGACCUUCAAGAUCACCAAGUCUAACCAUCAGCCUGACCUACCGAGUCCCAUCACUAAACCACGUCCCUUACUGCCACAUCCACACAUUUCUUAAAUACCUACAGGCAGGUGCAUUCUACUGCUUCCCUGGGCAUUCCAAUGCUCAACCACCCUCUCUGUGAAGAAAUCCUCCCUAAUGUCCAAUCUAAGCCUCACCUUGAAACCUUUUAAUUGCAUCCUAUCACUUGACACCUAAGGAAAGAGACCAACACCCUCUCUGCAGCCUCCUUGCAGGUAGUUGUAGAGAAUGAUGAGGUCUCCCAUCAGCAUCUUCUCCAGAUUAAACAGCCCCAGUUUCCCCAGCUGCUCCUCAUAACUCUUAUUUUCCAGUUCCUUCACCAGUUUCAUUGCUCUCUCUGCACAUGCUUAAGCCGCUCCACAUCCUUGUAGUGCAGGCCCAAAUCUGAGCACAAAAUUCAAGGUGCAGUCUCAUCAGGGCAGCAUGCAAGGGGAUGAUCACCUCCCUGGUCCUACUGACCACACUAGUUCUAAUCCAGGCCAGAAUGCUAUUGGCCUUCUUGGUUACCUGGGCAUGCUGCUGGCUUAUGUUCAUAGAAGUUCUUCCAGACAAGAAUAGCCAAAUGUCAUAAUUUAGGAAGAAAGGUUUGAGAUGUUGUCAUUGAUUAGUAAUUUUCAGUUCAGGGCCAAAAUACAUGAAAGAAGUAACUGUAAAUAUGUUGCCAGUGUUCUAGCAUUUAUUACGAAUUGAAACUAAGACUGUUACUCGGUUUUGUGUGUAGAGUGAAUAGGAUUCAUCUCACCAGAAUUCAGGCAUGCAACAGAUGCACAGCCCUUGUCUAGCCUUUGCGUACAAUCCAUGGAGGGGACUGCAUACAUCCCAAAGGUUAUCCAUCCAAUCCCUCUUAUCCUGAUUUGGGAAGCUAAGUUUGCAGAACACAGGCUAGCCAGAGCCUGAUCCCAAACAUUAUUUGUGCAUAUAUAAUUAUUCUCAUGUGUAGUCCCCCUAUUUUUGACAGUUAAUGACUAGACAGUUAAUUAUGUGAGUAACUAUUAUGCAGGAAUGGGCUCAAUUCUCAUUGCUUGUGUUACAGGGAGACUAAUUUGUCUCUUGAGAUGUCUGUUCCUCCUACAGAGAAACUACAGCGGGAGCAGAGGCUAGAACAGCUCAUAGGUAGACUUCUAACCUACACACACAGCUUAGGUAAAUCUCACCCAUCAUAUCUACCGCUAAUGUUACUAAUAUUAGGUAAUACCUGCUUUAUCUCUAAAGGUCUGUAGGUACUUAUCAGAUUUUAUGGAAUCUGAUUUCACAGCUGAUGGCAUAAGGUGUAACAGUUACUUAUGUAAUUAGUAGAUAGUCAUUAGCUUUUUUUAAAUCAGUGGAAUUCCACAUGGGAGCAAUUGCACGUGUGUAGGUAGGUUAGGCUGUUGUUGACUGGAGAUCUGUUAGGAAGCACUACAUAACAAACAGUCACAGUAAGCGAUGAUGGAAAAUUUAUCAUGUUCUAAUAUGUAGUGAUUCUUACUCUGCAUUAGAUGUUCUGUUGGGAACUCUCCUACAUAAUAACUGUUUUUAACAAAAACUGAAAAAAGUGUUAAAAAAAAAUCAAAAAUUCCUGUCCUUGAUUUCAGGACAGUCGUUUACUACUCAAGACCUUCAUUUUCAAAACUGAAUUCCCAUCUAAAGUGCUUCAACUCAAAAAAGUUGAACGCCAGCAGUUUGCAUUUUGAACAGUUUCAGAAGUAUAGCACAGAUGAGACCCUAGCAUCUACUACAGUAGAUAACACUCCUAUCAGUUUGCAGAAACAGAGCAAACUAGUGACCAACUCAAGCCAAAGAUUGAAAAUUUCCAUGAAAUCUACCAUAAAUGGCUACAAAAAGCAGAUAAUUUCUGUCUCUCCUUUCCACAAAACCCAGGCAAUACCAAAUACACAAGUAGGAUUUACAUCCUCCUCUUCUGCAGGAAUAAACCCUUUUGAACCACUUUCCA